GGUCGCGAGCAUGCGAGUCGAGAGGGUCGGCCCUCGGCAGACUGCUCAGUAACACGUGGAGAACUUGCCCUACGCUGGAGAAUACCCUCGGGAAACUGAGGACAAUACUCCAUAGCCCCUACAUCCUGGAACGGUGCAGGGGUAAAAGCUCCGGCGGCGUAGGAUAGCUCUGCGGCCUAUCAGGUUGUAGCGAGGGUAACGUCCUCGCUAGCCUUCGACGGGUAUGGGUGUUGGGAGACAUCGCCCAGAGAUGGAUUCUGAGACACGAAUCCAGGUCCUACGGGACGCAGCAGGCGCGAAAACUGCACAAUGUGGGAAACCACGAUGCGGGAAACCCAAGUGUCAGCACUAUGUGUUGACUGUCCUCCAGUGUUCGUAACUGGGGAAGAAAGUGCUGGGUAAGACGGGUGCCAGCCGCCGCGGUAAUACCCGCAGCACAAGUGGUGGUCAUUAUUAUUGGGCCUAAAGCGUCCGUAGCUGGCGUGUUAGAUGCCUGGGUAAAUCGAUGCGCUCAACGCAUCGAAUUCCGGGUAGACCGGCAUGCUCGAGACCGGGAGAGGUGUAGGCUACUCGCGGGGUAGGGGUAAAAUCCUGUAAUCCUGCGGGGAGGACCAGUGGCGAAGGCGCUACACUAGAACGGCUCUGACAGUGAGGGACGAAGCCCUGGGGCGCAAACCGGAUUAGAUACCCGGGUAGUCCAGGGUGUAAACGCUGCGGUCUUGGUGUCGGGAGUCCUACGGGGGCACCCGGUGCCGGAGAGAAGUUGUUAAGACCGCUGCCUGGGGAGUACGGCCGCAAGGUUGAAACUUAAAGGAAUUGGCGGGGGAGCACCGCAACGGGAGGAGCGUGCGGUUU
rnacentral:rRNA from 1 species